rnacentral:rRNA from 1 species
UACGGAGGGUGCGAGCGUUAAUCGGAAUUACUGGGCGUAAAGCGUACGCAGGCGGUUUGUUAAGCGAGAUGUGAAAGCCCCGAGCUUAACCUGGGAACUGCAUUUCGAACUGACAGGCUAGAGUGUGAUAGAGGGUGAUAGAAUUUCAGGUGUAGCGGUGAAAUGCGUAGAGAUCUAAAGGAAUACCGAUGACAAAGGCAGCCACCUGAGUCAACACUGACGCUCAUGUACGAAAGCGUGGGGAGCAAACAGGAUUAGAUACCCGUGUAGUCC